rnacentral:antisense_RNA from 1 species
ACCCACAAGCUCGAGGCUGCUGCCAUCUGGAAGGCCGGGAGAGAGACGGGCCUGGCCAGGACAGGGACCCGCUGCUUGCAGGGGAGGCAUGUGUGUGGAGAACGCCUAGGAGCACGUGGGUGGCCACGAACCCUGACCGUGCAGGUCGAGAAACUCUUCCAGGAUAGUAUGUGGUGGAUCAUGUCCGCCUAAAAGUGAGUCAAUUCUGCCAAUGAGCAAGUCUUCCAGACUGUUGGGCCCUAGACGAAGAACGACCUGCCAGCCGGGAAUUCUCUGCAAAGGACAAUGUCAAAACUCAUCUGAGGCAUCCAUGUCUGUCCUACAGCAAGCUUCCCCGCGACACUGGAGGGACCUAGGCUCCCGGCAGUUUUCAGGAGCCAGCCCUGGGCUAGGGGCUCCACAGUACUUGCAAACAAAAAGAGUUCCAAAAACCCAAUUUGCAUUCACCCAUGUAAGAAAUGCCUGAUAAGGAAGUAGCUUCUCUAUUUCCUGGGAUGGGGAUUUUUGCUCUGGGGCAUCAGAUAAUAUUAUUUGUAAGCUAGUCAUCACCAAUCCUUCGUUUUCUUCUGGCUUAGCAGAUUCAGGUCGAUUUAUGGCACUGACUAUCACUGCUUUAAAGUUAUCAAAAAUCACUUUAAAAGAAAACGAUGAAAUUGCAGAAAAGUGGAGUUUAUUGAAAAUCUGACUGUGGUCCCUUGAAGUUACUGCUUACAGGAUCAGCUGACUUUGGAGAGAAAGCCAUUAUCAGAAUCAAGCAGCAAAUUACUGGCUCCAGAGUUCCUAGCUUGCUACAAUAUCAGCUGUCUAAACCAAAACAAAGCAUUUUGUUGAAG